GAUGAAGAACGCAGCGAAAUGCGAUAAGUAAUGUGAAUUGCAGAAUUCAGUGAAUCAUCGAAUCUUUGAACGCACAUUGCGCCCCCUGGUAUUCCGGGGGGCAUGCCUGUUCGAGCGUCAUUUCACCACUCAAGCCUCGCUUGGUAUUGGGCAACGCGGUCCGCCGCGUGCCUCAAAUCGACCGGCUGGGUCUUCUGUCCCCUAAGCGUUGUGGAAACCAUUCGCUAAAGGGUGUUCGGGAGGCUACGCCGUAAAACAACCCCAUUUCUAAGGUUGACCUCGGAUCAGGUAGGGAUACCCGCUGAACUUAAGCAUAUCAAUAAGCGGAGGA
rnacentral:misc_RNA from 1 species